rnacentral:rRNA from 1 species
AACGAACGCUGGCGGCAUGCCUAACACAUGCAAGUCGAACGAGACCUUCGGGUCUAGUGGCGCACGGGUUCGUAACGCGUGGGAACCUGCCCUUAGGUUCGGAAUAACUCCCCGAAAGGGGUGCUAAUACCGGAUAAUGUCUUCGAACCAAAGAUUUAUCGCCUUUGGAUGGUCCCGCGUUGAAUUAGCUAGUUGUUAGGGUAAAAGCCUACCAAGGCGACGAUCCAUAGCUGGUCUGAGAGGAUGAUCAGCCACACUGGGACUGAGACACGGCCCAGACUCCUACGCGAGGGAGCAGUGGGGAAUAUUGGACAAUGGGCGAAAGCCUGAUCCAGCAAUGCCGCGUGAGUGAUGAAGGCCUUAGGGUUGUAAAGCUCUUUUACCCGGGAUGAUAAUGACAGUACCGGGAGAAUAAGCUCCGGCUAACUCCGUG